UACAGGGGGGUGCAAACGUUGCUCGGAAUCAUUGGGCGUAAAGCGCACGUAGGCGGUUCGUUAUGUCGGAUGUGAAAGCCCUUGGCUUAACCGAGGAAGUGCAUCCGAAAACUGGCGAGCUAGAGUACGAAAGAGGAUCGCGGAAUUCCCGGUGUAGAGGUGAAAUUCGUAGAUAUCGGGAGGAACACCGGUGGCGAAGGCGGCGAUCUGGGUCGAUACUGACGCUGAGGUGCGAAAGCGUGGGGGAGCAAACAGG
rnacentral:rRNA from 1 species